UUACGGGAGGCAGCAGCGAGGAAUAUUGCACAAUGGGCGCAAGCCUGAUGCAGUAACGCCGCGUGCGGGAUGAAGGCCUUCGGGUCGUAAACCGCUUUUCGGAGGGACGAGCAAGGACGGUACCUCUGGAAUCAGUCUCGGCUAACUACGUGCCAGCAGCCGCGGUAAAACGUAGGAGGCGAGCGUUAUCCGGAUUCACUGGGCGUAAAGCGCAGGUAGGUGGUUCGUUAAGUUGGUUGUGAAAGCCCCUGGCUCAACUGGGGGAGGUCAGCCAAAACUGGCGGACUGGAGGUUCCGAGAGGAGAGCGGAAUUCCCGGUGUAGCGGUGGAAUGCGUAGAGAUCGGGAGGAACACCAGUGGCGAAAGCGGCUCUCUGGCGGAAAACUGACACUGAACUGCGAAAGCGUGGGUAGCAAACGGGAUUAGAUACCCCGGUAGC
rnacentral:rRNA from 1 species